GUGGGGAAUAUUGGACAAUGGGCGCAAGCCUGAUCCAGCCAUGCCGUGUGUGUGAAGAAGGCCUUCGGGUUGUAAAGCACUUUUGUCCGGGAAGAAAUCUUCCAGGUUAAUACCCUGGGAGGCUGACGGUACCGGAAGAAUAAGCACCGGCUAACUUCGUGCCAGCAGCCGCGGUAAUACGAAGGGUGCAAGCGUUACUCGGAAUUACUGGGCGUAAAGCGUGCGUAGGUGGUUCGUUAAGUCUGCCGUGAAAGCCCCGGGCUCAACCUGGGAAUGGCGGUGGAUACUGGCGGGCUAGAGUGCGGUAGAGGGUGGUGGAAUUCCCGGUGUAGCAGUGAAAUGCGUAGAGAUCGGGAGGAACAUCUGUGGCGAAGGCGGCCACCUGGACCAGCACUGACACUGAGGCACGAAAGCGUGGGGAGCAAACAGGAUUAGAUACCCGAGUAGUCC
rnacentral:rRNA from 1 species